ensembl:lncRNA novel transcript
GCAGAAGCUAGUGGGGUUUCUUCGGAGCGAUUGUUUAGUAUUCAUGGGGCGACGCAAUCUCUCCCACAUCUGCUUAGCACAGCAAGUCCUGUCAUAUAACUGUCUCCCGCACUGUCUGUCCAUAAAGAAUGUCUCGGAAUUGGUGUAAUUCAGAGAAAUUAAUGACGACUUUCCGCGGGACGGCUCCCUGGGGGAUGAUUAACACUUCAUCGUCCAUCUGAUGCGCGGGGCCCAGCACUCCAUCGCGAACAUUUGGGCCGUGGCCAGCCGCAUUAAAGUUGUCUUUCAGGAGGUGUAGCCUGGUUGUGGCCUGGGGAGUUUGGCUGUUCUGUGUGGUGUGCCUCCACGGUGUGGUCUCCAGUGAGCUGCUCAGCAGGUGUAGACCCGGGCAGGGCGAAGCUCUCUGGGCUGUUGACUGUGAGGCCCCUCCCCACCGGUAGAUUUCCAAGCCUCUUCAGUUUUGCAUUCAGCCACAGCAGAAUCCGAAUGAAUACUGAGUGCUAAAGGAAGAUUUUUAGGUUGAAUGAAAAGGAUAUUGAAUAGAAACUUGGACUUAUAAGAGUUUCAGAAAUGGUAAACUCCUCCAGGGCAGGACCUGACUCUUCAGAGGAAUUUUUUAAUCCCCCUCCCCAGAAGUGCCCACGUCAAGGCCAUAGUAGAGAAGGAGCUCAAGAGCAAUCCCUAAGCAACCACGCUUGGAAGCAUCCUGCAACAGAGGGAUUUGUUCCAGACUCAGAUUUAAUCCACUAUUACCUUUUCGUAAGACAAGUGUUGUCUGAAGGAGUCUGUGUGUAAUUUUGAGACAAAAGGAUUGCAGAACUCAGCUCCCAGGUUGUCUCAUAUCUGAUUCUUCGAAAGAGGAAAAGAAGCGAACUCUUCUGCACAAUAGCUGAGCAGAUAGGAGAGAAAAAGCUUGAAGAUUCACAGUGGAGCAAGGCUAAUUGGAGCCUUCCUCAGAGCAGCUCAACUAUCCCAGUUUUACCUAUCCCAUUCCUUGCCAUUCCCACUUGUAAUUCUGUCUUGGCAAGAACACCAUACUGAAGGUUCUUAAAGCAGUUUGUAGACUUUAAUUAGUUCUGUGGAAAGUCAGUCAAAGCUCAGCCUUCAUUCUGCCAACAGAGACAACAGUGGUGGGUGUGGAAGGAAGGCAAGAAGAAGAUGGACACCCAGAGCAGUUGUGCAACUUACUGAAGGCCAUGUGGAUAGGAGGAACUGGGUUUAAAACCCCUGAGUCUUGAUAAAAGUGUCUUAGCCUUCUAGAUUCCUAAACAGGUAGUGGGCUCAUCCUACUAACCUACUUUGCUAGGGUGUUGUUGAUGAAUGCUUAUAAACCCUGUCCUAGAUGAUAGGUUUGGAAGAUUGUUAAAGAAAGCAUGUCAUUAAGUCCCUACUCACCCCCUCCUUGACAAAUAGCCCUGGAGGGAAAUGAAUAUUAGCCAGAAUCGUAGGGCCUCCACUUCAAUGGAAUGAACUGAGAUUCAACAACAAGAGAAAUGUUCCAACAGUGAGGGAAAUCAACAAUGUGCUGGGGGUGAAGGGUAGGGGUUGGGAAGGCCUAAACAGGUGACCAUUGCCAGACAGCCCAGACAAGAUCAUCACAGAAUAGCUGAUUCCCAUUAGACACUGUGGGUGAUCAUUAUCUUAAAAUUCAGGACACUAUUUUUGUAGUAGUUUCCCUUCCUCUCUUUGUAAGAGCAGAAGACCUCUCUGGGGCCUAUCACAAGACAAGCGGGUGUUUGCAAAUGAGGGACGUACUUUGAGACUGAAUUGCUCUGUGCUUCUCUAAAAGACAUGGUUAAGAGUUUGGGCGCUGAUGUUAGAGACUGAGAUUAAAAUCCUUCCUUGCCACUUCCAUCAGUAUAAAUUUGGAUAAGUUUCUUAACUUCUCUAAGCCUUGAUUUUCUCACCUAUAAAAUGGGCCUAAUAAUAGUGCCUAACUUAGAGGUUUGUUGUAAAGGUUAAAUGCAAUUAUUCAGGUAAAGCCUUAAUGGAGCCUGAUAUGUAGUAAGCACUCAAUCCAUUUUAUCUACUGACUCUUUUCUCUGUGUGGGUUACCCACUUUGGAGAUUGUCCCCAGUAAUUUCUUUGGUCAAGUCUUGAUCUCCCUGGCCCCUUGGCUGUCUUCUCCCACCAUGAUCAGUGAGAAGUUGAGGAGCACUAAUACCAAAUUCUUUUUCAUGUUAGUUAGGAGAAAGCAGAAUUACGAAGGUCAACCUGCUGGUGUAAAAAAAUAUUACAUAGAUUAGCCCUGCUCUACAUAUUAGAUAUGUUCUCAAAAUGCCUAAGUGGCCUUUUUUUUUUUUUUUAAUUUAAGUUCUAGGGUACAUGUGCACAACGUGCAGGUUUGUUACAUGUGUAUACAUGUGCCAUGUUGGUGUGUGGCACCCAUUAACUUGUCAUUUACAUUAGGUAUAUCUCCUA